AAGGUGUACCAACUUUGGGCAAAACUCCGCUGUGGAGUACACGAGCAUCUUCUAUAAAGACGUGUGUGGACAAUGAUAGAAAGGAUUACAUUGUAUGAUCUUCGCAUUUUUCGGUGCGAGUCGUCGAUACUUUUCUCGUGGAUCUUUGAUGUUGUCGGCCGAGUCUGCCAAGGCGUCCACGUCCGCAGCAACAAGACUUAAUAUGGGUAACUGAAAACAAGAUUAGCGCUUGCAUGAAAAGAAUAUCGAAAAACACCAAAGCACUUCACAAUAUAUUCGAUAUUGACAACAA